AGUCAGGAUGGCCGAGUGGUCUAAGGCGCCAGACUCAAGUUCUGGUCUUCGAGAGAGGGCGUGGGUUCAAAUCCCACUUCUGACAUGUA
rnacentral:tRNA from 1 species